ACAAUUGCUGCAUAAUGUGCUGGUGAAUAACAUUAUUGAUCACAUAAAAAGUCAUUUUUGUAGAUGAGUGGUGUUCUCAAACUAUUUCAAUGCCAAUGAUGAUGUUUUGUGUAGACUGUCAGUAAUUCUCGUCAAAAAAGUUUUUAGCUGUGACUAUACGUCAUUACUUAUUGAAUUUCAGGGAACUUUCUGUGUAUGUCAUAUCAUGAGCACCACUUUCGUUGCCGAUCAAUGCACUCAACUAUCUCAAUAAUUAUGCCUUGCUAUUCUCAUGAAUGUGUGAAAAUUUAAAUAAUUCUCAUCAGUUGGCACCUCAAAGUCUAGAUAUUUACCAAAGUGUAGUCUAGAUAUUUACCCGUGUAGUCCAGCAUUUUGUUGAAACUGUUCAUUUUUUAAAUUCCCCAGUAAUCUAAACACUGGUUCUUCUCUCUAUCUGAGAGUGAUUGUGGCCUUAUGUUUUUUAUUGGAGUAUUCUAUUGAAAAUGGCUGAAAGGCAUUUGUCAAAAUGGGAAGUGACUGGUUCAGUCAGAAAGUGGUAGGUGUACUGUUCAUUAAUUAAUAUAGUGCAUUGAAAGUCAGAAACUUAAGAAAUACUUGAAUGGGAAAUUUUGAAUAAAUGUUUAGAUUAUGAAUGAAUAGCUGUUUCUGCAAACCAGGUCUCAAAAAAUUUCAAUUUCUGAAUGAUCAACAUCACAUGACACUCUGGUAUGGUCGUUUCUUCACAUUCAAUGUUCUCUACUGCUUGAGGAACUGAUGAAGUUGAGCAUUUUAAACUAAUGAGGGAGAUCUCUUUGGGACUAUUUUCUGUGUAAAUUUUCUGAUAAUGCGAACAUUGAUGUAUGAUGAAUAUGAAAUUUUUGCUUCUUGUUAUCUCCAUCGAAGUGGUCUGAUUGUUAUGCUGUUGGUUGGAUUAUUUGGUUGCAUAUGGAUGAAUUCAACUCUGGCGACAUCAGUGGAACAAGGAUGUAGAGUAAAAUUCGGG
rnacentral:lncRNA from 1 species